rnacentral:misc_RNA from 1 species
CCGAGUUUACAACUCCCAAACCCCUGUGACAUACCACUUGUUGCCUCGGCGGAUCAGCCCGCUCCCGGUAAAACGGGACGGCCCGCCAGAGGACCCCUAACUCUGUUUCUAUAUGUAACUUCUGAGUAAACCAUAAAUAAAUCA